rnacentral:rRNA from 1 species
UAACACAUGCAAGUCGAGCCCCCGCAAGAGGGAGCGGCAGACGGGUGAGUAACGCGUGGGAAUCUACCUUUUGCUACGGAAUAACGCAGGGAAACUUGUGCUAAUACCGUAUGUGUCCUUCGGGAGAAAGAUUUAUCGGCAAGAGAUGAGCCCGCGUUGGAUUAGCUAGUUGGUGGGGUAAAGGCCUACCAAGGCGACGAUCCAUAGCUGGUCUGAGAGGAUGAUCAGCCACAUUGGGACUGAGACACGGCCCAAACUCCUACGGGAGGCAGCAGUGGGGAAUAUUGGACAAUGGGCGCAAGCCUGAUCCAGCCAUGCCGCGUGAGUGAUGAAGGCCCUAGGGUUGUAAAGCUCUUUCACCGGAGAAGAUAAUGACGGUAUCCGGAGAAGAAGCCCCGGCUAACUUCGUGCCAGCAGCCGCGGUAAUACGAAGGGGGCUAGCGUUGUUCGGAAUUACUGGGCGUAAAGCGCACGUAGGCGGAUCGAUCAGUCAGGGGUGAAAUCCCAGGGCUCAACCCUGGAACUGCCUUUGAUACUGUCGAUCUGGAGUAUGGAAGAGGUGAGUGGAAUUCCGAGUGUAGAGGUGAAAUUCGUAAAUAUUCGGAGGAACACCAGUGGCGAAGGCGGCUCACUGGGUCAUUACUGACGCUGAGGUGCGAAAGCGUGGGGAG